rnacentral:lncRNA from 1 species
CAGCAUUUCCAUCUUUAUUAUUAUUCGUAGGGCUUCUAAUCGCAAAUAGCGGUUGUGUAACUUGCGUUUGCGUUUCUUUCGGCGGCGAUUGCAUAAACAGCGUUUGCGUUUGCGUUUCUUUCGGAGGCGGAGGCGCCGGUGGUUGCAUAAACAGCGUUUGCGUUUGCGUUUCUUUCGGAGGCGGAGGUGCCGGUGGUUGCAUAAACAGCGUUUGCGUUUCCUUCGGAGGCGAAGGAGCCGGCGGCUGCAUAAACAACGUCUGCGUUUCCUUAGGAGGCGGAGGAGCCGGCGGUUGCAUAAACAGCGUUUGCGUCUCUUUCGGAGGCGCAGACGGUGGCUGUUGCAUAAACAGCGUCUGCGUCUCUUUCGGAGGCGGCGGCGGUUGCAUAAACAACGCCUGUGUUUGCGGCUGCUGAAGUUGCGGUUGUUG